CUUCCUCUCUUAUCCUUUCACCCCACACACUGACACCCCCACAGAGGGUGAGCGGAGCCGCGGAGGCCGACUGCCACAGCUCGCCGGCGCUGAGCACCAGGCCGGCAUGCUCCGGGUCCGAGCCGAGCGUCCCCAAGCUCAGCUUCUUCUCCACCUCUACCCUGCCCGCAACGACGACGUCGCCAGGAACGGCGCGCUCCCCUCGUCCCCGGCGUCCUCUUCUUGAUCCAGUGGCGGGGUGCUGAAGCGAUUCACCGGCGGCGGGGGCGGCGGAGCUCGACCAGGAGGUGGACGAGGUCGUGCUUCUCGCAGCUAAUCUGCUCGUCGCCAGGGAUGUUGCCGUCUUCAUGCGCUACGCCGUCGGGGAGCUGUUCUCGGGGGAAGCGGAGGGAGCUAAGGGAGAUGCCACGGAGGGAGGCGGAGGUCGAUGAUGAGCCCCCGUGCUUCACCGACGGCAUGAAGCGGAGGGCAACCAAGAAGUGGACGAGGGACCAUGCGCGUCGUGCUCACCUACAGCGCCGGCGUCGAGACCGAGUCGCCGCCGGCAACGCCAACAGCCUCCACUCGCAUCAAGCCUCCUUCCUCACCACCAGGGUCGCCGGCAAGCACAAUCUGAACCACCCCUCCCGCCGUGACAUGAGGUGCCGUCACGGGAAGAGAGCCGAAGCGCCGUCUGCUCGCCCGCACUACCACGACCGUCUUCGGGGCCGCCUCUCUACUAUUGGUCCUCGCGCGCCGCGGCGAGCACCAGGCCGUCACGCUCUAGGUGAACGCAACCACCGACGAGGAUAUUACCGAAGGUAUAUCGCCAUAGUUUCCCCCUCUGCCACCACCCGACAUUCCCCACAGCGUCGGAGUAGUUCCAUCUGCUCGCCACCAUUUCUCCUUUCCCCUAUUUUCUGUCGCAAACGCAGAUCAUUCAUGUAGUUGAUACUUGCAAAGUUCGUGGCAAUUUUCAUCCCCGUCCUUGUUCAUAAACAGAAGCAAACUUAUACUAUAUAAGGCUCUAUAUGACAAAUUUCACGUGA